UAAUACGUAGGGUCCGAGCGUUGUCCGGAGUUACUGGGCGUAAAGCGCGCGCAGGCGGCUUGGCAAGCAUGGCGUGAAAGCCCCCGGCUUAACUGGGGAGAGUCGUCGUGGACUGCCAGGCUUGAGGGCGGUAGGGGUUGGUGGAAUUCCCGGUGUAGUGGUGAAAUGCGUAGAGAUCGGGAGGAACACCCGUGGCGAAGGCGGCCAACUGGGCCGACCCUGACGCUGAGGCGCGAAGGCGUGGGGAGCGAACGGGAUUAGAUACCCCGGUAGUCCACGCGGUAAACGAUGCCGACUAGGCGUGGGGGGACUUGACCCCCUCCGUGCCGGAGCUAACGCGGGAAGUCGGCCGCCUGGGGAGUACGGCCGCAAGGCUA
rnacentral:rRNA from 1 species